GGCUGCAACUCGCCUACAUGAAGCUGGAAUUGCUAGUAAUCACAGGUCAGCAUACUGUGGUGAAUACGUUCCCGGGCCUUGUACACACCGCCCGUCACACCAUGAGAGUUGAGAAUACCCGAAGUCCAUGUCAAAGUGGCCGAAGGUAGGCUUGAUGAUUGGGGUGAAGUCGUAACAAGGUACC
rnacentral:rRNA from 1 species